rnacentral:rRNA from 1 species
CCUACGGGAGGCAGCAGUGAGGAAUAUUGGUCAAUGGGCGGAAGCCUGAACCAGCCAAGUAGCGUGCAGGAUGACGGCCCUACGGGUUGUAAACUGCUUUUAUACGGGAAUAACGCGCCUUACGUGUAGGGCUUUGCAUGUACCGUAUGAAUAAGGACCGGCUAAUUCCGUGCCAGCAGCCGCGGUAAUACGGAAGGUCCGGGCGUUAUCCGGAUUUAUUGGGUUUAAAGGGAGCGUAGGCCGCAUGUCCAGCGGGCUGUGAAAUGUCCGGGCUCAACCCGGGCCUUGCAGCGCGAACUGGCGGGCGGGAGUCCGCGGAAAGCAGGCGGAAGUCGUCGUGUAGCGGUGAAAUGCUUAGAUAUGACGAAGAACCCCGAUUGCGAAGGCAGCUUGCUGCAGCGGAACUGACGCUGAUGCUCGAAAGCGCAGGUAUCGAACAGGAUUAGAUACCCCAGUAGUC